GCUACAAUAUGAGAAAAAUACAGCAUUCUAGAGUCUCAAAAGAGAAAAAGAUGAUAUGAAAACCAGAAAGGCUUUGUGGAAGAAGGAGCUUCUGAAACGAGGUUGGAUCGAACCCAUGCAGCUGAGCAGAGAAUUUUCCAGCAAAAUGUACACCUGAAACAAAGGAUGGGGGCAGGAAACAAGGUUGGAGGAACACCGACUAGUCACUUAGCUAGGAGAAUCGGUGCUAGUAGGAGAGAGGAGGGCUAGAGGCAGAAAUCUGCUUAACAGGAUCAUCAUGUAGAGAACAUAGCAGGCUGAACGGAAGGAAUGUACUUAAAUAGGAUAGCACCUGAGCAACCACCAGAGACUGUGGAAGAGGAUGGCGAUCAGACCAGGGCUGCUCCUCAUGAAAGCUAACACAGGGACGGUGGCAGCAGGCAGACAGGAAGGCAGGCUGUGUUCAUAGUCAGGCUUUCUCAGGCUGACAGCAGAGCAGAAAAGAGGCACCUGACUGGCUUCUGAUUUCUCUCCUUCCUCUUCCCCCCAUACACCAGCUGCUCUGUGAUCAUUUCUUCCAAGUGAGAGACUCCACAAGCAGAAAAAGCCAGCCAUUCUCCACUCGUGGAGGAGCAACUUCAUCCAACAGGUGGUCACAUUCACACAAUGGAUGGAUUAAAUAAAGAUCAACUUUAGCUUCUGG